GAUGAAGAACGCAGCGAAAUGCGAUAAGUAAUGUGAAUUGCAGAAUUCGGUGAAUCAUCGAAUCUUUGAACGCACAUUGCGCCCGCCAGUAUUCUGGCGAGCAUGCCUGUUCGAGCGUCAUUUCAACCAUCAAGCCCCAGGCUUGUGUUGGAGCCCUGCGGCUGCCGCAGCCUCCCAAAACCAGUGGCGGGCUCGCUAUCACACCGAGUGCAGUAGUUUACUCUUCGCUCAGGGCGUGUGGCGGGUGCUAGCCGUGAAACCCCCAACUUCUCAAGGUUGACCUCGGAUCAGGUAGGAAUACCCGCUGAACUUAAGCAUAUCAAUAAGCGGAGGA
rnacentral:misc_RNA from 1 species